rnacentral:lncRNA from 1 species
GGGGUUAUUUCCAGGCUCAAUAUUGCUUAGAUCCUCAGUGACCUGAAAAAGAGUUCUUUGUAGCCCAAUAAUUUGGUUCAAAGGUGAGCUCAGUCAGACAAGAAAUUUACCCAGAUCUUUCCGGAACAGAAACAGAAUCCAACAUGAAUGUGAUACCCAGAAAUAUCAUCGGGAGCUAAUAGGAUGAGUAUCAUUUAGACAAAAUCCUGAUAGGACACACUGGGAGAGAAACGGGAAUAAAGACUGAGAUGAGGAAGAGUUGGAUGUGAGUGGAAGGGGAAUAGAAAGGUCUGGGUUCAUGGUGAAUCAUGAGCUUUGCACAAAUAAAGCAUGAAAAGACAUUGUGAUCAGCCCAAGGAUAGAGCUCAUAGGCAGGGUUGUUGAUAAAUUUCUAUUUUUUUCCUACUGCAAAUGGGAGGUCAACAGCUAGGGGGUCAGAUACAAAGAGAAGGGAUCUGCUUCAUCAAUCUCAGGCACUUCUCCCUUUAUCCUUGGUGAGUUAAAGUGGAGAAUUGCCUGGCAGUCUGAGAGCCAUGUCCUGGAGGUUUGUUCUGCCUUCUGGACAGUUCUAUUAUUCUUAGAAGGUGGGUGAAAUCUUCUUCUAAUGAAAAUUGUUAAGUUUCACCCAGAUAUUGUUCUGAGCUCUGGGUUUUCCAAGGAGACAGUUACACAGAGCAUAAGAUGGGACAGGCAAAGGUCCUCAACACAAGGAACUUAAUGGUUCUGCUUGGAUAAACACUGACUUGCCUAAGCACUGACCAGGAUGGUGCAGCUAAAGUUACAAACAAGACCCAGUACAUGUGCUUUAUGUGCCCUACCUUAUGAUGGAAUAUAAAAGACAAGUACCAGGAAGGGGAGGGUUUGGGGAAGCCUUGGCUGCGCCAUCCUCUGCAGUGCCAAGGUGAAGAUUACCCCUCAGGCCGAGGGUUAGUUUCUAGCAGCCAUUUGGGGAAGUUCCAGUCAGGCCAUACACUACUUACAGACUGCAGAAGAUUCUUGGCUCAAAGGUAUUUCUUGACCUUGCAAUGUUAUCUAUGGACUCUAAAUGCAGAUCUUACACUGUUAGGUAUGAGACCUCCAUCCCUCAUGAAUUCGAUGGCAUUCUUUAAAGACAACUAUCCUUUUCCAAAGUAUCCUGGUCAGCCGGCACUUCCAAAGUAUCCUGAAUGGUCAGCCAGUGGGAGAAUGGUUUCCUUGCACUCUGUCUUUAUUCAGUUCACAGGAUCUGAUGAGUCCAGGAUGUUUUGAAAUUUUCCAUUUUCAGCAAGCUCAUCCUGGGGAAAGCCUUGGAAGAGUUCAAUUAUCAUUUAGUGGAAUCUUCCUUCAUCCUUCUUUUGGUGAUUUUGACUGAUGAAAGACUUAUUACAUCCUCAUGUUGGGCCAAUCUCUGUGAGGUGAUUUUUCCUGUGAACAAUGGGGCUCUAUGAGACAAUGAAUGAACUACUUCUAGAAUAAACACAUCUCUUUGUGGAGAUGACAUCAGGGCUGAAAGAUUUGGACUGCAGUUUUGUUUUCUUUAGGGAUCUACUCUUCUAAGUUUUAUGGUGCUUGGGAUCCCUGGAGAAUUAGUAAUAAUGAGCCUCACUCAGCUUCUUCCCAGCUCUCUUUGCUGUUACUCACUAUAGCUUUUCAAACAAAAGUUUCAGUUGUUUGUUCAGAUCAGGAAUAACAGUUACUUUUAGUUAAAGUAAUAUAUCUAAUUAUUUCUCUGAAACUGGAGCUCCUGUCUAAUAUUAGGCAGUCCUACUAUUACAGGGAUAUAAGAAACCAUCACAAGUAAUACAGGAACUUGGCUAGUUCUACCCUAAUCCCUACUUCACUGGGGCUGAGAGAUGGUAGAAAGGGACAUAGGAGAAGGAAAAGAAAAAGUUAGGAUUAAUUUUUUCCCCAGCUUUAUUGAGGUAUAAUUGACAAAUAAAAAGGUAUAUAUUUAAAGUGUACAUGGGAGUUCCUAUUGUGGCUCAGCAGGUUAAGAAUCCAAAUAGUAUCCAUGAGGUGGGAUUGAUCUCCAGCCUUGCUCAGUGUGUUAAGGAUCCAGUGUUUCCUGUGAGCUGUGGUGUAGGUCACAGUCAUGGCUUGGAUCUGGUGUGGCUGUGGCUAUGGCUGGCAGCUACAGCUCCGAUUUGACCCCUAGCCUGGGAACUUCCAUAGGUCCCAGGUGCGGCCCUAAAAAGCAAAAAAAAAAAAAAGGGGCAAUGUAAUGAAUGUGUACAUUGUGAAGUGAUUGGUACAAUGAGGUUAAUUAACACAUCCCUCACGACACAUAGUUCACAUUUAUGUGUGUGUAUGUGGUAAGAAUGCUUAAGAUUAAUUCUUAGCAAAUUUCAAGUAUAAAAUAUAAUAUUAUCAACUAUGAACACUGUGCUGUACAUUAGGUCUCCAGAAAUUAUUCAUCUUAUAUUUAGGAGUUUGUACCCUUGACCAGUAUCUCCCCAUUUCCUCUACUCUCCCAGGCCCUGGCAACCACCAUCCUGUUUCUAUGAACUGGACUUUUUGUUUGUUUAUUUAGAUUCCACAUACAGGUGACGCCAUACAGUAUUUGUCUUUUUCUGUCUGGCUUAUUUCAUUUAACACAAUUUCCUUCUGUUUCAUCUGUUUUUGCAAAUGACAAGAUUUUCUUCUUUUUUAUGACUGAUUAAUAUUCCAAUGUAAUAUCUACUUGAAAUAAAUUGUCAGAUAUUUUUCCAGCAAAGAUGGGUUUAUUUGGGGUUGCAACCAUGGUGAACCAUGUGCAACUCCCUGUACUGCAAGGGAAGAAGAAUGCUUUUAUAGAGAAAAGGAAGUUGGGAGGGCUAUGGCAAAAAAAGAGUGUGGCUUUUCAUUGGCUGAGUCCUUGCCAGGAAAAAAAGGAGUCUUUCUUCUUCGUGCUGGGCUCUGCUAUCAUCACAGGGAGUGAGAACUUCCCCUUCUGGUCUCUCAAUUCUAUUUACCUGGGAUUUAAACAGAAUCGUAUUUUCUUUAUCCAUUCAACAGGUGACAGACACUUGUUUCAUAUCUUAACUAUUUUGAGUAAUGCUGCUAAAAACAUGGAUUGCAGAUCUCUCUUUGAAACAGGGGGAUGCCCUGGAUGCACUGGGCCUGAAGCACGACUGCUGAGGCUACAUGGGGCUGGCUUGCUGGACCUGAUUAUAAAGCUGCACAACUAUGUGCCCCUGGAGAAGUGACCAUGGACUACAGUAGUCAGUGACUUGUCCAGUUUGUUCCCCUGAGGUAACAGGAGCUGGAAGAAAUGCCUGCCCACAGCCCUGUCAGUGUGUGACUCCUAUGGAAAGAACCAUUUAGCAAAGGUCUUUGAGGAUCACAAGGAGGUCCUAACAGUUGAAAAAACUUUUUUUGUUGUUUCCUUUGGAUAUACUCUCCAGAGUAGGUCUUCUGGAUCAUAUGGUGGUUCUAUAUUUAAUUUUUCAAAGAAACUUCCAAUCUGUUUUCCAUAAUGGCUGUGCCAAUGUCCAUUCCUAACAACAGUGUACAAGGGUUCCCUUUUAUUGACAUUCUCACCAACACUUGUUAUUACUUAUCUUUUUAAAAUCAUAGGCACCCUAACAGGUAUGAGGUGACAUCUCACUGUGGUUUUGAUUUGCAUUUCCCUAAUAAUUAGUGAUGUUGAGUACACUUUCAUGUACUUGGCCAUUUGCGUGUUUUCUUCAGAAAAAUGUCUACCCAGGAUCUUUGCCCAUGUUAAAAGGACUUAUUUGAUUUUUUUUUGGCUUUUGAGUUGAUUCUUCAUAAACCCAAGUAUCUCUCUUGAACUCCAGAACCAUCUAUCCUACUGCUUACUGCAGAGUUCUACCUGGGUGACUUAAAGCACUGUGUUAAAACUGACUGAAAAAAUACACAGGAGAACAAUAAAACAACACUAGUUAUUGCAGGUAGUAGUCUGGGGUGGGUAGGGGCAGUGUUGACAGCAUGAUUCCUCACCAUAUGUCUUCUUGAUGAAUGAAAAAAUGUGAAUGUAUCGUUCCUUUCUCUCCACCCAUCCACUUCUCCCCUAACUUGCUCUUCUCAUUUACUCCUGUUUAUGUGAAUGGUAUCAUCAUUGCCUUGGUCACCCACGCCAGAAUUUGGGGAGUUAUCCUGGACUCUUUUCUCUCCUUUACUCUCUUAUUCCAACUUCUGUAAUUCUGCCUCAAAAAUUUUUCAUGAAUAAAUUUUCCAUACCCACUGCUAUUGCCUUAGCUUGGGUUUUUUCUUACUUGGAUUUUACUAUCUUUCUCACUUUAGUUCUCCACAUAAUGCUAGAGUCAUCUUUCAACACAAAAUGGACUACAAUAUUUUUCAGCCUAAAUCAUUUGAUGCCUCCAGUAACCUUCAGAAGUAAAAUGUAAGUUUUCUAGUAUAGCAUCUUUUCAAUCUUGGGACCACCUACUGCUUCAGUUCCUUCUCCUAUGAGUCUUCUUUCAUAGCUUAGUCUUCAACCAAACAGCUUACUUCUCUUGAAAAUAUCAUAUUCUCUCUGGCCUACAUGCCUUUACAUAUAUGUUGUUCUUUCUACCUGAAAUGCCUUUCCAACCUUGGCAAAAAACGGAUUGAAUUGAGAAAACUUUUCUAAGUAGUUCUGCCCCCAACCCUCAGCCCAACCACAUUCUUCUCAAUUAUAAAUUCUGAUAUUGCACUAAAUACAAUAUUAUCACCACUGAGUUCUUCCUCUGUAUCUCCCUGCUAGCUAUAUGACCCUGGACAAAUCCUGAGAGCAGAAACUGAACCAUGCUUUUCUUUGUAUUUUAAGCAUCUAGCACAGUACCCUUGAGAUAGCAUCACAGUUUUUAAUUGUUAACCAUUGUUUUUAAUGAGUAUUUCUUAUCUCUUCUAGCUGUCAUAUUCCUUUCAUUUGGGUAACAAAACUGGGAAAGAAAUAUUAUUGCAGAAGGCAGGAUAAAGCCUUUUCAAGGUUAGGACUCAGGGCCUAGGAAAAACCUGAUGAGUCAGGGCAAAGCUUAUUUCCCGAGAUUCUGCAUAACAGGGGAAAGAGGAGAUGAAGAAGAAGAGUAGCUCAGAGCUGAGGGCUCCUUGGGAAGAGGUGGAGCCCUUUGCAUUUUACGAUCUUUCUCACUUUAGGCUGAGACUUUCCCAACCCUAGGCUGAGACUAAGAGAGGAGAAGACAGAACCCAACAUAGAGUUGUAGGUCUGAGAACAGAGAGAAUUUGUGAUGUGUUUUCUGGGAAGGUCCAGGACAGUGGCUGUACCUUUGAGGAGAGGUGGCUGCAUAAAGUUUCAGGCAGGUGGGACAUUAGAGAGCAUCAGAGUUUCUAUGGCUCAGAGAGGUGCAGAAAUAGAGUAAUAAAGUCUAGAGUGCCUGAAAGGGGCACAGAGGUUGCAGGAAGAGCUGUCCAGCCUGCAAGGGCCUCAUUGAAGAAAAUGAGGUGUGAUGUGCCAGCUACAUGUGGACCGAUGACUGGGGGCAGGAUGGGAGGGUCCAGAGAACAGGUGGGUGAAGGAGGGCCUCCUUGUCUUCCCCUAUCUUCCUCAAAACUUAGACACAACAUUGGAGAAAAGUGUGCUUGUGGGAGAAGCCAGAACUGACUGAGAUUUAAUUUUCACCUUCAGGUUAAUGGGGCGUCUAGGGAAAUUAAGCUGAGUUUUAAGAAUAGAAAGUAAAUUAAACUUGGUGUACACAUGAGUUUGUGAACUAAGAUUAGUAAUUGCUUUCCCUGGCAUCAGAUAGUGUUACAAAUCAAUUAAUUAAAAAUUAAUGUAGGAGCUCCUGCUAUGGCACAGCAGGAUUGGUGGUGUCUAGGGUGCACUGGGACAUGGGUCCAAUCCCUGGCCCAGCACAGUGGGUUAAGAGUCUGGCGUUGCUGCAGCUUGGGUUGCCACUGCAGCUCAGAUCUGAUCCCUGGCCUGGGAGCUCCACAUACCUCGGGCCAGCCAAAAAUGAAAAAAAAAAAAAAAA